AGGCCACACAAAGUUUGGAGGUCUGUAGCUAUUGACUCUGCAGAGAGUUGGCGACUUCUGAGCACUUCAGCAUGUGCUGACAAUGCUUUACAAU